rnacentral:rRNA from 1 species
UACGAAGGGGGCUAGCGUUGCUCGGAAUCACUGGGCGUAAAGGGCGCGUAGGCGGCCGAUCAAGUCAGAGGUGAAAGCCCAAGGCUCAACCUUGGAAUUGCCUUUGAUACUGUUCGGCUAGAGACCGGAAGAGGUUAGUGGAACUGCGAGUGUAGAGGUGAAAUUCGUAGAUAUUCGCAAGAACACCAGUGGCGAAGGCGGCUCCCUGGACACAUACUGACGUUGAGGCGCGAAAGCGUGGGUAGCAAACAGG